UUUUAUUUCUUUUUCCUAUUUUCUUCCGCCUCCUCCCCCGCGUGCUCGACGCCCGCCCGACUCCUCCUUUGCCCUAACUGCCGCCGCGGGCGGUUUCUUCUUCCUUUUCUUUUAUUUCUUUCCCCUAAGCCCCGACGCCGUGCCUUAUUUCCUCUGCGCCGGAUCUUUCCUCUUCCUCGCGACGCCCAUCUCCACUGCCGCCAGCCGACGCGGAUCACCGACCCUAGCGCCCACACCGACGCCUCUGCCCUAGCCACCUCGCGCCGCCACCACAGCCGACGCCGCCCGGAGAAGUGCCGACGGUCGCUUCCUCUGUGAAGCCGAGCCACUCUCUAGCGCCGAGUAGCAUCACCGCCGACCACUGUCACCCUUGUGCGCUGACCGCCGCCUUGUUCUUUGCUUGAAGCCGACGACUACGGUUUGAUCUCUCCGGCGACCAUUUUUGGUUGCUGUCCUUGCUAUUUCCUAGCGCCGGCAGCCAGCGUACCAGGUGCCCUAGCACCUUCUGUGUAUCACAGCGACGCCACCUUUUGCCCUAAUUGUGAUCUGGGAGGUUUCCUGUAGGGCUUGCUUUGCUGUGGAUUGAUCUUGGUUCCAGCAGCACCUCUUUGGCUGCGGAUCAAUAGCAGAGAUCUGUGAAUUAGGGACUUUGACGCGAGACGAGUAUCUCGAUGUCGGAUUUGGACAUUCCUAUUGGAGGCGGGUACUUUUGAGUUUAUGUCUUUGAUAUGCAUAGUAGUGAAUUUAACAAGUAGCAAAAAUUAUGUUAUCUUAUUUGUUUCGGUUAAUCACUACCCGAUAUAUGUUAUAUGAUUGGUUGAUUUCUUGUUUUGCAUCUCAUGUAUUCCUUACCUGCUUAUACAUGCUUAUAGGGGUAGUGAU